GUACUAGAGUCCGAGCCAAGAAUGACUUGCCGGCAGGCUAGCAUUUGCUAGCUACAGGGCAAGAUGUAUGCUAAAGUGACAUUCCGCCAGGUUGUUCUUGGCUCUACUUUGGUCUUU
rnacentral:pre_miRNA from 13 species